ensembl:lncRNA
AACCCCAUGCUCCAACAGCUAAUAAUCCUAACAUUGAAAAUGGAGCAAGUAGCCUAGAAACAGUAACACCAGAUAGUUUAGACAGAAGUUUAUUUCCAUUGAGGGAAGUACCCACCUUUAAUAAAGAAGGGAACUUGGUGCCUGUAAGACACUAUACACCUUUUAAACCUGAUGAUUUAGAAAAAUUCAAGCACAAUGUUCAAUCAUUUGAGGCAGAACCAAUGUUGGUUAUAGAAAAAUUAGAAAAUAUAUUCAGAAACUUUGACCCUUCUUGGUUGGAUGUGGAGAAUUUGUUAGAUACAUUUCUGACAAAGAGAGAGAAAAAUAAUGUCAUCUCUCUAGCUAAUAAGAAAAGUGGUAGAGGAGCUCAUCACUGGCCAACUGUAGAUCCACACUGGAACCCUAAUAUUGUACAGGAUCACACAAAACUAGCCCUGGCCAGAGAAGCAUUAUUAAAAGCCAUGAGAGACUGCUCUGAUAGCCCUGAUGCAUGGGAAAAAUUUGAACAAUCCCGGCAGGAAAUUAAUGAGACCCCCUCCCACUUUAUGGACAGACUUAUUGACGUAGGAAGUACAUAUAUGGACCUUGAUUUGUCCAGAGAAAAAGACAUUAAACAUAUACGCAGACAAUUCGUUAGGAAUUGUUGUUCAGCAGUAAAAGACUACUUUGAAACCAACUGUCCCAACUGGGAGUCUAUGGACCUCGAAGAACUGAGGAAAGUAGCAACAUAUGCCUAUAAGAAUCGUACAAAAAAACCUGAAACACACAAUAAAUCAGUGUCAGACUUAGAAAAAGAAAUUGAAAUUUUAAAGGAACAAUUGAAAAGUAAGGGAGAGACCAUGGCCCCUUUGCAGGAAUCCACAGAUAGAUCAUUAACAAACCCCUUAAUAUGCCUCUUCUGUGGGAAGAGAGGCCAUGCAAUGAUAGUCUGUAGGAGCAGACUACGGGAAACAAGAAAUAACACCUUUAGGAAUAAUAAAUAUAGGAACCACAAUGCCAAUAAAAAUGACGA